rnacentral:rRNA from 1 species
UGGGGAAUAUUGCACAAUGGGCGCAAGCCUGAUGCAGCGACGCCGCGUGAGGGAUGGAGGCCUUCGGGUUGUAAACCUCUUUCGCCAGUGAAGCAGGCCAUCUUCUUUGUGGGGUGGUUGACGGUAGCUGGAUAAGAAGCGCCGGCUAACUACGUGCCAGCAGCCGCGGUAAUACGUAGGGCGCGAGCGUUGUCCGGAAUUAUUGGGCGUAAAGAGCUCGUAGGCGGCUGGUCGCGUAUGUCGUGAAAUCCCCUGGCUUAACUGGGGGCUUGCGGUGGGUACGGGCCGGCUGGAGUGCGGUAGGGGAGACGGGAAUUCCUGGUGUAGCGGUGGAAUGCGCAGAUAUCAGGAGGAACACCGGUGGCGAAGGCGGGGCUCUGGGCCGUUACUGACGCUGAGGAGCGAAAGCGUGGGGAGCGAACAGG